rnacentral:rRNA from 1 species
AAAAAAGCCUCUAAGCUUCAGUGAUAUAGGAACCGUACCCGAAACCGACACAGGUGGUCAGGUCGAGUAGACCAAGGCGCUUGAGAGAACUCUGCUGAAGGAACUAGGCAAAAUAGUACCGUAACUUCGGGAGAAGGUACGCUGUUGCCGGUGCGAAGAUUUACUCUUCAAGCUGGUGGCAGCCUCAGUAACCAGGCCGCUGCAACUGUUUAUUAAAAACAUAGCACUCUGCAAACACGAAAGUGGACGUAUAGGGUGUGACGCCUGCCCGGUGCUGGAAGGUUAAUUGAUGGGGUUAGCGUAAGCGAAGCUCUUGAUCGAAGCCCCAGUAAACGGCGGCCGUAACUAUAACGGUCCUAAGGUAGCGAAAUUCCUUGUCGGGUAAGUUCCGACCUGCACGAAUGGCGUAAUGAUGGCGGCGCUGUCUCCAGCAGAGACUCAGUGAAAUCGAAAUCGCGGUGAAGAUGCCGUGUACCCGUGGCUAGACGGAAAGACCCCGUGAACCUUUACUGCAGCUUGACAUUGAACUUUGACCUUACUUGUGUAGGAUAGGUGGGAGGCUAUGAAGAUCGGACGCCAGUUCGAUUGGAGCCAUCCUUGAAAUACCACCCUGGUAAUGUUGAGGUUCUAACUCUGUCCCGUAAUCCGGGACGAGGACCAUGUCUGGUGGGUAGUUUGACUGGGGCGGUCUCCUCCUAAAGAGUAACGGAGGAGUACGAAGGUGCGCUCAGCGUGGUCGGAAAUCACGCGUAGAGUAUAAAGGCAAAAGCGCGCUUAACUGCGAGACCCACAAGUCGAGCAGGUACGAAAGUAGGUCUUAGUGAUCCGGUGGUUCUGUAUGGAAGGGCCAUCGCUCAACGGAUAAAAGGUACUCUGGGGAUAACAGGCUGAUACCGCCCAAGAGUUCAUAUCGACGGCGGUGUUUGGCACCUCGAUGUCGGCUCAUCUCAUCCUGGGGCUGAAGCAGGUCCCAAGGGUAUGGCUGUUCGCCAUUUAAAGAGGUACGCGAGCUGGGUUUAGAACGUCGUGAGACAGUUCGGUCCCUAUCUACCAUGGGCGUUGGAAAUUUGAGAGGAUCUGCUCCUAGUACGAGAGGACCAGAGUGGACGAACCUCUGGUGUUCCGGUUGUCACGCCAGUGGCACAGCCGGGUAGCUAUGUUCGGAAGGGAUAAGUGCUGAAAGCAUCUAAGUACGAAGCCCACCUCAAGAUAAGAUUUCCCCGGGACUAUAUGUCCCCUGAAGAGCCGUUCGAGACUAGGACGUUGAUAGGUUGGGUGUGGAAGCGCAGUGAUGUGUGAAGCUAACCAAUACUAAUUGCUCGUGAGGCUUGACCA